rnacentral:lncRNA from 1 species
ACAAACCUUCUAAUCACUCCAAAAUCACUCUCUAAUCACUCCAAAAAUUCCCAGCUUUGAGCAGAAAGUUUAAGUAAUUCAAAGUGAGUUGUAGCUCACUUCUUCAACUCUUUUCUUCUUGUUUCUUCAUCAAAAACACUUGGAUAACCUCUAGGAAGGUUUUCACAAGUUUGCUUGGGCAAACUAAGGUGAAACCUCACCAUUUUUGAGGUCCAAAGUGCAUAUAAAAUUCUGCUCAUUUUUAUUUCUUUUUAUGUUCAUAUUUUGAUAGAAAACUUGGUGGAAUCUUGUUCCCACCAAGCUCACAACUUAUUCUAUGGUUGUGGGUUUGUGUUUAGGGGAUUUCCAUCAAAGUUUUGGGUUCAAACAUCCCUUUUAUUUCUGUUUACACAUAACAAAUCAAUGAUGAAAACAAGCACAAGACAUCAUCUUUUAUAUGAUGAACUUGUGACUUGUGAAGUGUGAACAAAUGGAAGCUUUGGCUUUCCAAACUAAGUUCCACUCCUUCAUUUGAACAUUUUGUAACAUGUUAGAUUAGAUUUACUUUAUUAUAUGUUCAUGACCCUCCUUGUUGUUUAUAACAACAAGUGUAGUGGUGAACAAUAGAGGUGCCUAAAUGGAAGCUUGUUCUUCCUACCUCAUGUAUGAACUCUAUGACACAAAGAGGUGCCUAAAUGGAGACAUUGAUCUCCUACCUCAUGCUUGAAUCAUAAGACUUGUAACCAAUAUAAUAUCUAAGCUAUUCUAUGUACAUACAUAUAUACCUAAGUAACUAAACUUGAUGGUAACUUAAUAGUUACUUGUCAAGAAUAUGUUACAUCAUCUAUGACCAUGCUCUUGUUACGACUCUAAUGGACCUUUGAAUCCAUGAAAUCAUACCAACUCUUUUGAGUUCUAAUAGUGUCAAGAACAAGGGUUAUGUGUACUAGAUGAUUAUUUUCACAUGUUAUUCUCAUAUGUUAUUUUCAUAUUCUUUUAUUCUGAAUCUCGACCCUAAACAUACUUGAACUUUAACCCUUACAUAUUCAACCUUCUAACCCCAUCAACUUCGUCACAUUGGAUAAUCGGAAAGCAUAUGCAAAUUUGUUGAGGAUGAUGAUGCUAUGAAAUGAAGUAGCGUUGAUGCUUAGAUACACAUAUAGACAUUUAGGUUUAAUGGAUAUAUCAAUUUUGAUUAUGUUGUAUCGUAUUUCCUUUGAACUUGACGUUAUUUGAUUUCUUUGUAAUGUUGACAAAUGAAUUAUGAAAUGAAAUUGGUUUAUUGAAUAUUGCACAGAUAGUGUUAUGAUGUCUCUAGCAAUCUUCACACUUCGUCUCAUCCCGAUGUUUCCGCCAUUGGUUGGGGUGUGACACUAAGGUGUCUACCCUUUUAUAUUUUCAAAAAUAAUAUUUUAAGGUCAUUUGGGCAUAAUGGUCAACAUAUAAGCAUUUAACGAAAACAUGCAUGUGAAUAGGAUAUCUAAUGAACCAAGUUGUAUAAUCACAAAGGGUUAUACUAACAUGUAAAUAGGUCCAAAAGAAGCUCUAAGGCAAUCCUAAACUUGGCUUAAACAGGUCAGAACUGAAAGUCAAAGCAGAAGUCAAACUAUGCGACUUUCGGUUCCAAACCGAGCCUAAACUGAAAAUUGUCGAGUUGAACAUGUUGGGACAUGUUCUUACAUUAAUUACCAAGUUAUAUUAAUGAUCAAACAGGUUGCAUGUAUCCUACAUUGCUAAUUAUGCAUUAAUUUGAAAAUACACAUUCUGUUGACUUUUUAAGGUAAGCUUUGACCCGACAAUUAACAUAGUUAGAGUGGGAAUCUGAAAAUACCAUUUUAAGGGUUUAUUACCCACAUAAUUACCUACUCACGGGUAUUUUUAAUUCGUGAUUUGACUGGACAAAUUUUAAUUAAUCACGAAGUCAAACCUUAAUUACGACAGUUUGACUUUUAGCCAAUUAACUAAGCUAAAACAAAUUUAGAAAGGUUAAGAGUACUUACAAGAGUCCUAACUAUGAUUAGGGAUCACUAAGUAGUUGGCUUGAUGUCCAGAGAGCUCCAAAGAUGAAGUUGUGAACUUUUGCCAAUGAAUGAACAACAUGGUCACAACUAGAGCUCCUUAUAUAUUAGUUUUGAUCAUCUAAGAUCAUGCCAAAGGGGUCUACAAUUGUUACCAGAUCCAGACAAGUGCCCCUACUGCAUGUAAAACCAUUGGAGAGGCCUUUGGUAUAAGAAAACAACUGAUUUAAGUCGGUUACAGCCCUUCAACUGGCACCUGCAGGUUUUCUGUCGUUGUGUCUCUCUCGCGGGUCGCGUAAGUCCAUAAGGAACUCUUACGCGGGCCGCCUGGCCUGUCAGAACCAGCCAAACAAGUUUUGAAAUUUGCACUUUUGGUCCCUGGUCCUUUGUUACGUGGUUUUAACUAUUGUUCUUGCAUUUUUGCCCUUUUAAACUUAUUUUUAAGGGUUCCAAAACAUGUAUAAACAUGGGAAAGUCCUUGAUCAACUUGUAAUCACCCGAAAAGUCAUAAAUUUCAAUGUUGAUGCUUUUAACCCCUCGUACACGAAUUUGCUCAUAAUUUUCUCAUACGAUAACGAAACUUUAUGAAAUUUUUACCACAUAUUCUAGUGAGCAUAAUUUACCGUUACAAACCUUCGGGUCUGCUAAUAGGUCACUCAGAGGUAUACUUUACACAUGUUGACGCAUUUAGCCCCUGUGGUUUGUAAUCUCUCACUUUCUUUCAUAUUUAGCUUCGUAUGAUCCAUGAUUUAUUCUUUUGAAGGUAUAUACGUCUUGUAGGACUAUUUCUAAAUAUACUUAUCCAUCGUUGACACCUUGGACCCUUAUAUUCACAUAAUUUUCCUUGUUUGUCAACUUUAGCCCUUCUAAAGUAUUCUUUCACAUGUUCAAAGCUUACGACAUGUGUCAAUUCAUUAUUGGACAUGAAUUUUCGAGGUGUUACACUUGGCAGUUGGUUACUUCACUAAAUGGGUCGAAGCUAAGCCUUUCACGGUAAUCUCUGAAUACAAUGUUACCAAGUUCUUCUCUCAUAUUUUUAAAAUUUUAGGUAAAUGUAUAAAAUUUGUCAUUUUUCACUCCACAUAGGAACCACCAAAUCUGUAUCCUAUUUUUAUUGCUACAGUAUGAUAGGGUAUAGAUAAGAAAAAAUGGUGGAUGAGAUGUAUAUAGAUAAAAGCUACUAUCUGUCUUCCAAAAACUAGUUACUAUAUAAACCUAUAUGAAAAUUAUCUGAGU